rnacentral:lncRNA from 1 species
GUGAGUAGACCUGAUGAAUCAGUGGUGUGUCUCGGUUGGCUACCCAUACGAACUUUUUUACUUGAUUGCUAGAAUGGGACUUACAAUUACAAUUAACCGAGUGUUGACUGGCCAGCAUGUCCAGGUUCGGUUAGACUUAACUCCAUAUCAUGAGUAGCUGUCCAACCAAGUUCAUAGGCUUCAAGGAAACCGAUCUUUGCCUUGUCGGGGAGAUCAUGGGAAUGAACAAAUGGCACCUCGUUUGGCCACCCAAUCUCCAUUCUUAUAUUGGCACAGGGGCUAUCAAGUGUCUGAAUGUGAUUCUCACACUUCUUCAGGUUGCAGAACCUCAGCUUGAUUCCCUUCUUGUCUGCAAUGUCUUGAACCCUUUCCUGGACUCUCUGGGCCUCGACCCACAAUCUCUUGGAAGGUGGCAGAGGUUUGGUUCUUUCACUCUUUCUCCUCCUCAACAAAGGCUUCAUAGAUCCUGUACCAGCAUUUCAUCGAUCCAAGGACCUGCUGUUAAAAGCUUCUCACAUAAGAGAUACACAUAAACACGUGCAAUCCAAUAUCAAGAGGACUCAAGAGACGGAUAUAAUUUUUAGAAGAUAAAACUAGAUUGAGGAUCCUUGUUACGACAGCAGAAAUGCGAAAACUAUUAAGUAGUUGAUGAUUACUAUCAAUAGAGUUGGACUUAAUUUAGCUUAUACAUUGAACUUAUUUUUGGUGUGUGCAUGUGCUUCAGUCAGUAAGACCAAUCCUAAUUAAAGUAAGCUGUCAUUAAAAAAAUUGCAUUCAUGAAAUCAAUUUACAGUAUGUAACAAGCAGGCAAUUGGUAAAGAAGAUUAAAUGCAGCAUACCAUCUUGUGCUGCAUGGAAAUUGGAACUUUGGAAAACUGUGUCUGUUAAAGAGUUGAUUGGUGGGGUGAGAUCUCUGCAUAAAGUCAUCAACCGCUACUGGAAGCUGGAACUGAGCUUCAACCCCAUGACCAGCAGCUCUCAUCUCUGAACAACUAAGAUUGGUCAUGGAUUUAGGCAUGAAUUUAAAAAGCCACAAGAAAUCGCCCAAACAAGUUGCUCUGUGUAUUAGCAGUCUCCAUUCUCUGCAGUGCAGGGUUAACAUAUCCUGCAGUUGCCUGAUAGAGUGUGAGUCCAGGGUAAACAAUAGCUUCUUGAGGACCAAGAUCUUCGUCCACAAGAACCCAACGACCCUGAAAGUCCUUUAUGUGUAGACCAGCCUUGCCUGACUUGACAAGAGAUAUCAAGCUUUUGUCAACUUGAUGCUCAUGGUCAGAAAACAUAACCAACUGGCCAUCCUCUUGGGUCGUAAAACUAUGGUGUUGUGUAACCUGAAAUGAUGGCCUUGCAUGACAACAGACAGAUAAUACUGAAGAAGAUAUUUACCUGUUUCUUAAGGGAACAUUAUCAAGUACGUCAGUAAAUGGUGAGCUCCUCAAGUUCAAAUAGAAGCUGAUAGCGUGCAAUAUAUCUCGAGCUGCCAUUGCAAGCAGUGAAAAUAUAUCUGGUAAAGCUGCUGGAGGAAAUUCCAUUGUGUUGUCGGGCUCUAAAGGAGUGAAUCCAGGUCUGUAAUCAUAGGUUUCUAGCCACAAUUGAGGAUCUGCAUUAUAAUCGGAAGUCUUGCACCAGUCACGGGGAUCAUUGUUAUUAACCAUAUCUGCAGCUGGGUAUGAUGCUUUCUGGUGGAAGUAGAGGCGAGCCGAAUCUAAACCCGACCUCAAAAGAGCCCCAUCACUCACUGGAAAACUGAAUGAUGGCAGCAGAAUAGAGUGCUAGUGAUUGUGACAAAGUCGAAACAGAUAGUUUGUAAGAAUCUGAUGGAAGGCCUUCACCAGGUGCCAGAUCAGUUAGCUUCACACGACCUAGAGAUGGCAGGCCAUUACUUGCCAUGAAACCCUUUGGGUAUACUUGCUACCUAAUUUUGAAGAGAGGCACAGGUUACACUGACAAACUCAAAAUUAAAAACUGAAACAGCAUAAUCAUUCAUCAAUCAGAAUCUCUCUCUUUUUUUCUUAUGAGAAUUUAGGAACUCCUUGACCCCUAAGUUGAAGCCACAAAACUGAACCAUCUACGUACUGCAAGAAGAAAGUAUAUGAAGCAUAAAUAUAUACGUACAAAUACAUGUGUGUACAUUAUGAACAUUUUAUAUUGAAAAAGUGCUCUCCUAAGGUCCUUAAAAAGUCAAGCUGCUCAACUAUUGAUCGUCUAUGUACGCUAGAAAUGCAAGAUCUAUGAUACGUUGCAUGCCGAGGGGACAUUUGACCUAUGUAUAGAUAAAGUUAGAAGCUAAGUUUUUCCAAUUACUAGUAUGAGCAACAACAACAACAACAACAACAACAACAAAGCCUUUCCCACUAAGUGGGUCGGCUAUAUGAAUCCUUAGACGCCAUUGCGCUCGGUUUUGUGUCAUGUCCUCGUUAGAUCCAAGUACUCUAAGUCUUUUCUUAGGUCUCUCAAAGUUUUCCUAGGUCUUCCUCUACCCCUUCGACCCUGAACCUGUCCCGUAGUCUCUCCUACUUACUCGGAUAUCCUCAUUCCCAAUUAUCCUUUCUCGUUGCCACACAUCACGAAGCAUCCUCAUUCCGCCACACCCAUUUUGUGUACGUGUUGAUGCUUCACGCCCAACAUCUGUGCCAAUACAACAUCGGCCUUAUUGCCUCCUAAAUUUUCCUUGACUUCAGUGCCUACGACGGUCACACACAGCCGGGAUGCACUCUACACUUCAUCAUCCAGCUUGUAUUCUAUGGUUGAGAUCUCAUCUAAUUCUCUCGUUCUCUUUGCACGAUAGUCCUAGUAGCGAAACACGCUUUUUGGUGAUCUUCGCUAGAUUGCUCCGGUCAUUAGUGGGUAAGUAUAUAAAUGGAUAGAGACAAGAAAGCAAACACAAGAUGUACGUGGUUCACCCAGAUGGCUACGUCAGAAAUAGAGGGAUUCUCAUUAAUUGUGAAGGUUUACCAAGUACAUAGGUUCAAGCUCUCCUUUAGUGAGUACAAGUGAAUGAUUAGUACAAAUGACAUUGGGAAAUAUUGUGGGAGAAUGAUCUCGUAAUCACGAACUCUAAGUAUCGGAACGUAUCGUCUUGAUUGCCUUAUCUGUCUCAUAGGUAAUGUGGCAUCUUCUCUGGAGUACUCUUCUCCAUCCAGGGUUGUAUCUUAACUAGUGGAGAUGACAAGGUAAUGUAUCAAUUUCACUUGAAGCUUACUUGUAGUUUCAGGUUGGUCAGCGCGAUACAAACCAUGUAGUGGAGUCCCCAAGUCGCCGAGCUAGAGGAUCUGCUAAAAGAGGUGACAGACAAGGUAAGCAAUCAGAGCUCGGCUGAUUGUUCACUUCUCCCUAUCUUGCAGGCAGCAUGAAGGAUAAAGAGAAGAAAUGAGAAGAGAUUGAUAUGGGUACUUUGCUUUUGAAGAAGUAACUUCCAACAGGCUUAUUCUUGAACUGAGCUGGAGGGUUUUCUGUUUCCUCCGAGUAUAAGGCCGACUGAAGGAUUUGAGGGUCAAACAAGUCCAUCAAAUCUAGAGUACGUUCGACCCCUGAUAUGGGAUACUUUGCUUUGACAGAGUAUGGAAUGAUGGCACGUGUUGCUGUUCGCUUGUCUCCACAUGCUUCCUUGUAUCCUUCUCCCUUGCCCUAGCUGUUCCUCAGGCACGAUUGCGGUAUCUUCCUGGAAGCAUAAGAUGUUGAAGAUGUACUCGAGGCAAUGGGUAAGUAAUAGGUAAGGGGUUCUAGGCAGUCAGUUCCUGGCUGGAAGUUUGAUUCCAAGUGCUGACUGAUUGCUCUCUUCUCCUUGUUUGCAAUAAGAACAAGGCAAAGGAAAAGACAGGGAAAAAGCAUGAUAUGGGAUACUCUUGCUUUUUAACCCUGAUGAUAUGAAUAUCUUGCUCUAGUAUAGCUUGUUUGCAGAGAUAUUAUCGCGGGGAAAGAAGCUGAUAUUCGAAAGGCGUUGGGUGCCCCAUAUGAGGAGGGUUGAGCAUUUUUGCAGGUCUGCCUGUCGUUGGGGAUGGAGGUCGACAUAUAUAGAGUCUCCUUAAAACAAGUAAUAAUGCUAUUCCGUUUCCUACUUGGUCAUAGCCAGGGGGGCUCCAGCGUUCACAUGUUUUAAUUGUCAGAGCACUUUGAAAGUGGUUUGUGGUAUUGGAAAGGUGAUGUUGCAUGUGAAGUUACAGACAGCUUUAUCCCCAAGGAGUCGGCUCUUGAAGUUGGGAAAGUUUGCCUCUUGUUUUCGAACAAGCAACUCCUUGGGGUCUGGCUCCGAGAUUCGGAGACGAUGCCUCUUCGAUUUGAGAAAGCAAUCAUGCUGGGGGGCUCUCGAGAUUCGGAGAACGAUGCCUCUUCGAUUUUUGAGAGAUGCCUAUUGUGGGUUUAUCCAAAGGCAUUUAUUCCUUCGUCUUCUAGGCUGUACGCGUAAUGAGCUCCAAUGUCAACCUGUGCCUCCUUCUAGGGUUCUGUCCAGUACUAAGGUCGAAUGAUCCCUCCGGUGCCUCUCUUUCUGGGCUCACGACUGCUGAGAUUCUAAGCAACCUUUGUGAGGCUCCCUCUUGUUUGUUUGUUAAUAACAUUUGUAAUCGGGGAUAUCUUUUCCUUCAUUUCACGUAUUGUUUAAUUACACAACCUUCUUCGCUAGUUCUUUGAAUUUUCUUUGUUGAAGCUUUGUGAGUGGGCAUUAGGUUUGAGUAUGUUCCUUAAUUUCCUGAGUGAGGAAAACUUCUCGGUUGGAGACUGGAAAAUCCAAGUCAUUGAGUGGGAUCGGCUAUAUGAAUUCUGAACGCUUGUGCUCGGUCUUGUGUUAUGUCCUCGUUAGAUCCAGUACUUAAGUCUUUUCUUAGUCUCUUCCAAGUUUUCUAGUCUUCCUACCCCUUCGGCUGAACUCUAUCCUAGUCGCAUCUUCAAUCGAAGUCAGUAGGCCUUCUUUGCACAUGUCCAAACCCGUAAAACCGAUUUUCUCUCAUCUUUCCUUCAAUUGCGGCUACUCCUACUUUACAUGGAUAUCCUCAUUCAUAAAUCUUAUCCUUUCUCGUGUGCCCACACAUCCAACGAAGCAUCCUCAUCUCCGCUACCCAUUUUGUGUAGUGUUGAUGCUUUACGCCCAAAUUCUGUGUCAUACAGCAUCGCCGGCCUUAUUGCCUCUAUAAAAAUUUUCCCUUGAGCUUCGUGGCAUAUAGGCGUCACACAGCAGCCGGAUCAAUCUUCCAUUCAUCCAUCCACUUGUAUCUAGGUUGAGAUUUCCAUCUAUUCUCCGUUCUUUGCAAUAGAUCCUAGUAACGAAAACGGUCGCUCUUGGUAUUUCUUGAUCUCGAUCCUCACCCCUAAUUUUGGCUCCAUUGCACUGAACUUGCACCUCAUUUUCUGUCUUUGAUCGGCUUAGGCGAAGAUUUAGAUUCCAAACUCCUCUCCAAAGGUAAGUUUGCAUUACCCUUCCUGAGUUCAUCUAUCAACACUAUUCGUCUGCGAAGCAUACACCAAGAAUAUCAUCUUGAAUAUGUCCUGUUAACUCAUCAAUUACAACGCAAAAANUAUAUGGGCUCAAGCAGGCGCCCCGUGCAUGGUCCAAUGUUUUUCCACUCAUUUGGAAGAUUUGGGUUUCCCCUCUACGCGGUCAUCGUUUUUACCUAAUUCAUGGCUCAACUCGUAUUUAUCUCUUAAUUUAUGUUGAUGAUAUUUUGGGUCCGGGAAUAAUCUCUUAUAUUGUCACCUCAUUAAGAUUUUGGGCCUCCGUUUCUCUAUAAGGACCUUGGACGGUUCAUUAUUUCUUAGAUGGAGGUGGUCCGCACUCCAUCAGGUCUCUCUCUUUCCCAACAGAAGUAUGCACUGACCUCCUUACCGCACCAAAUGCGGUGCCGGGUUCCUACUCUGCCGUUAGUGGGCGACGGCUCAGUCUUCGGAUGGUGACUCUGCCGGAUCCUACUGAAACCGAAGUGUUGUCGGCGCCCUUCAUUACUUGACUCUUCACUCGCCCCGAAUCAACUUCGCCGUCAACCAAGUCUGCCAAUCUUCACCAGCCGACUUCUACUCAUUGGGCCGCGUCAGCAUUCUUUCGUUACCUUGUCGGCACUACUUCUCACGGUCUUAUCUACAAGCUGGUUCUUUUGUCUUACGGCAUUUCCGAUGCCGAUUAUGCCGGGAUCCUGAUGAUCGGCGUUCCACCGGGGGGCUAUUGCUGUACUGGGUUCCAAUCUUGUCUCAUGGAGUGCCAAGAAACAAAAUGGGGUCUCUCCGGUCCAGCACUGAGCCGAGUAUCGUCAAUUGCAAUCACCGCUGCCCUCUUUCAUGGUUUCGUAUGCUGUUCGUGACCUCCAGUUUCCUCUCCAUUGUCCUUACCACUGUUCGUGUGACAAUAUCAGUGCUAAUUCCUUUGCUUUCCAACCGGUGUUUUGCCCGCACUCGGCAUGUUGAGGUAGAUUCCAUUUAUGUUCGUGAAAGGUUGUCGCAAGGAGCUUUGAUGUUCAGUUAUCUUUCUAUCAUGAUCAGAUUGCUGACAUCUUCACCAAGGGCCUUUCUCUUCCUCGUUUUCGACUUCUGGUUUCCAAGCUUCCUGUACUUGAUUGUACUGUCAGCUUGCGGGGGUAAAGGAUGAUACAUUCCUGAUCUCUUGGGAUUGUUUCCUGUUUAUCAUGAUUUCCAGAUUUCCCUGUUUUAUUAAAACAUUCCCUUUAUGUAUUCUUUGUAGAUUAAUUAUACUUGUAAAUCAAGUCAUUGUACACUAUUUAAAUCAAUGAUAAUGCACCCUCUAUAGUAUCGAGGGAUUGAGCCAAAAUACCUUCUUUUACUUUUGCUGUCUUGUCUGCAAUUCCUCCUUUGAGUUAUCUUUUAGUUAGUAUCAACAAGGACAAGAAUUCCAGGGAUGGUGACCGUGCGUAGACCUGAUGAAUCAGUGGUGUGUCUCGGUUGGCUACCCAUACGAACUUUUUUACUUGAUCGCUAGAAUGGGACUUACAAUUACAAUUAACCGAGUGUUGACUGGCCAGCCUGUCCAGGUUCAGAUAGACUUAACUCCAUAUCAUGAGUAGCUGUCCAACCAGGUUCAUAGGCUUCAAGGAAACCGAUCUUUGCCUUGUCGGGGAGAUCAUGGGAAUGAACAAAUGGCACCUCGUUUGGCCACCCAAUCUCCAUUCUUAUAU